rnacentral:rRNA from 1 species
AUUGAACGCUGGCGGCAGGCCUAACACAUGCAAGUCGAACGAGUGGCAGACGGGUGAGUAAUGUAUGGGGAUCUGCCUGAUAGAGGGGGAUAACUACUGGAAACGGUCGCUAAUACCGCCUACUAUCAGAUGAACCCAUAUGGGAUUAGCUAGUAGGUGGGGUAAAGGCUCACCUAGGCGACGAUCUCUAUCUGGUCUUAGAGGAUGAUCAGCCACACGGGAACUGAGACCCGGGCCAGAAUCAUACGGGAGGCAGCAGUGGGGAAUAUUGCACAAUGGGCGCAAGCCUGAUGCAGCCAUGCCGCGUGUAUGAAGAAGGCCUUAGGGUUGUAAAGUACUUUCAGCGGGGAGGCGUUACCCGCAGAAGAAGCACCGGCUAACUCCGUGCCAGCAGCCGCGGUAAUAC